rnacentral:rRNA from 1 species
UGGGGGAUAUUGCACAAUGGGCGAAAGCCUGAUGCAGCGACGCCGUGUGGGGGAUGAAGGCCUUCGGGUUGUAAACUUCUUUUGCUCUGAACAAGGCAUGCCUUUGGGGUGUGUUGAGUGUAGGGGUUGAUUAGCGCCGGCUAACUACGUGCCAGCAGCCGCGGUAAUACGUAGGGCGCGAGCGUUGUCCGGAAUUAUUGGGCGUAAAGGGCUUGUAGGUGGCUGGUUGCGUCUGUCGUGAAAGCUCAUGGCUUAACUGUGGGUUUGCGGUGGGUACGGGCUGGCUUGAGUGCAGUAGGGGAGGCUGGAAUUCCUGGUGUAGCGGUGGAAUGCGCAGAUAUCAGGAGGAAUACCGGUUGCGAAGGCGGGUCUCUGGGCUGUUACUGACGCUGAGGAGCGAAAGCGUGGGGAGCGAACAGG